rnacentral:rRNA from 1 species
GAGUUUGAUUCUGGCUCAGGAUGAACGCUGGCGGCGUGCUUAACACAUGCAAGUCGAACGGGCGAAUUAUAUCGGAGGUCUUCGGGCCGAAGAGAUAAUAAGCUAGUGGCGGACGGGUGCGUAACGUGUGGGUAAUCUGCCUUUGUCAUAGGAAUAACUGCUUGAAAAAGUAGCUAAUACCAAAUAACAUAUCGUAUAGGCAUCUAUAAGAUAUCAAAGAGAAAUCGGACAAAGAUGAGCCCGCAUCUGAUUAGCUGGUUGGUAGGGUAAAAGCCUACCAAGGCGACGAUCAGUAGCCGGCCUGAGAGGGUGAACGGCCACAUUGGAACUGAGACACGGUCCAAACUCCUACGGGAGGCAGCAGUGGGGAAUAUUGCACAAUGGGGGGAACCCUGAUGCAGCAACGCCGCGUGAGUGAAGAAGGCUUUCGAGUCGUAAAACUCUGUUGUAAGGGAAGAUAAUGACCGUACCUAAAGAGCC